rnacentral:ribozyme from 1 species
UUUUUUUUUUUUUUUUUUUUUUUUUUAUCC